AGAGUUUAUUUGUGGGUAAAUCGGGUGGGUUAAAUGGGUUAUGGGUGGAUUUUGAAAUUUGGGUUAAAAAAUUGGUCAAUUCAGGUUGUGGCGUAGGAUUGCGACACGUGUACACAAUGAGUGUUCCGUUAGUGGGAGGGGUAAAUGUGUACUGAUUAUUGGACGGCAAGGGCUCUAGUGGACGAAAAGUAUAACGGAG
rnacentral:lncRNA from 1 species